AGAAAGUAAUUAAGGGCGCAUGGCGGAUGCCUUGGCUCAUGGAGGCGAUGAAGGACGUGAUAAGCUGCGAUAAGCUGCGGGUAGGUGCAAAUAACCUUUGAUCCGCGGAUUUCCGAAUGGGACAACCCAAUUACCAUAAGGUAAUUAUCAUAUAUAUGAUAUAUGAGGCGAACCGAGGGAACUGAAACAUCUUAGUACCUCGAGGAAGAGAAAAUAAACUAAUGAUUCCCCUAGUAGUGGCGAGCGAACGGGGAUUAGCCCAAACCAAUGUUGUAUUAUGCAAUGUUGGGGUUGUAGGACUACGUUGUUGUACUUGAAUUGCGAGAAGAAUAUUCUGGAAAGUUUAGCCAUAGCAGGUGAAAGCCCUUUAUUCGAAGCAUGCCAAGACAUAGUAGUAUCCUGAGUAGCGCGGGACACGUGUAAUCCUGUGUGAAUCUGCCGGGCCCAUCCGGUAAGGCUAAAUACUCCCAUGAGACCGAUAGCGUACCAGUAC
rnacentral:rRNA from 1 species